GUAGAUCAACGGUAGAUCGCUUGCAUGGCAUGCAAGAGGUUGCGGGUUCGAAUGCCCACC
rnacentral:tRNA from 1 species